GGGGGUAUAGCUCACUGAUAGAGUGCAUGCUUAGCAUGCACAAGGUCCUGGGUUCAAUCACCAGUAGCUCCA
rnacentral:tRNA from 1 species